rnacentral:lncRNA from 1 species
UGCUGAGGGCUGGGCUGCGCACGGGGCUGAGUCCGGUGGUGACUUCCAGGUUUGUCGAAGGGUCACUGGGUCGGAGGGACCACCCUUCACCCCAGCAGGGAGUAGCAGGGGAGAAGCAGGUGGGCGGGGGCUUGGGGUGUGUGGAGAAGCUCUUGAUUUUAGGCGUAUUACCCUGGAGAUGGGACGUGUAAGUGGAGCUAUUUUAUAAAUCCUGGAACAUGGGACGGGUAUUAAGGGAAGGGGGGUCUGGAGGGCACCACUUGCUAGUGGAAGAUGAAGCUAAGGGUGGGCAUACGAUUUACCAGGAGGUCUUAGAGAUGAUGAAAGAUCUGGAGAAUGAAUAUGAGGAGGAGAAAAGGAGCCAUGAAAAAACAGCAAGAGAGUGGGGGCGGGUGUGCACUGGAAAACCACCGAGUCAGACUGGCCCCAGUGAGGAGGAGUUUGAGAACGUCAUUAACGAUGUGAAAUGCCACCUCGAAGUCGUUUAAUUAAUGAGUUACUUUUCCAACCACACCUGUGGCAUGCAGAAGUUCCUGGGCCAGGGAUCGAGCCUGAGCCACAGUGGUGACAAUGCUGGAUCCUUAACCCACUGAGCCACCAGGGAACUCUGAGGUCAUCGAAUUUUUUAUUUUAUUUUAUUUUUUUUGCUUUUUAGGGCCACAGGUGCGGCACAUGGAGGUUCCCAGGCUAGGGGUUGAAUCGGGGCUGUAGCCACCGGCCUACGCUAGAGCCACAGCAACGCGGGAUCCGAGCCGCGUCUGCAACCUACACCACAGCUCACGGCAACGCCGGAUCGUUAACCCACUGAGCAAGGGCAGGGACCGAACCCGCAACCUCAUGGUUCCUAGUCGGAUUCGUUAACCACUGUGCCACGACGGGAACUCCAGAAUGAUACUUUUAAUUUGCAAAUAGCCCAUCAUUUCCCCAAUUUGCUAGGGUUCGUCUUUUCGUAUCUUCAUAUAUUUUCUCUUCCCUUCCUCAUAAUUCUAGUGGCGUAUUAUCUAAAUAUUUUAGUAGCUUAUAGAGCUUGGCAGUGAGUUAGGAUCGUAGGGUUUGAAGGUUGAUUCCAGAUAAAAGCCCCGAGGAGCCUAGCGGGGAUGUGUUCAGUGCAGCUCAGCGCCCUCGUGGCUGGCCGACAGCUUCCACUUAGAAGGCCUGGGGGAGUGUGUUCCGAGGGCAGCCUCCUGGCAGCCGAGGGGCCACUGCUCCAGGAGGCAGGCCAGGUGGCUUGCGGCCAAAUGGCUUCUGAAAACGAGCCUUACUGAUCAAUGUUUCAUGCUGCUCCUCCCUCCGCAGCUGCUGCACAGCGCCGUCUUCUUUGUGAAGAUCUUGGGUUCGGUGCUGCCCUCGGAGGGUUUUUUGGUUUUUGUUUUUGUUUUGCCUUUUCCAGGGCCGCUCCCGCAGCACAUGGAGGUUCCCAGGCUAGGGGUCUAUUUGGAGCUGUAGCCGCCGGCUUACACCACAGCCACAGCAACGCAGGAUCCGAGCUGUGUCUGCAACCUACACCACAGCUCACGGCCACGCCAGAUCCUUAACCCACGGAGCGAGGCCAGGGUUCGAACCCGCAACCUCAUGGUUCCUAGUCGGAUUCAUUAACCCCUGUGCUACGACAGGAACUCCCUGCCCUCAGAGUUUUAACGGAUUCCUUACCCCCUGAUCCUUUCUCCAAAGCCUUUCCAGCUUCCUGAGGAUUUUGAACUCAUGGUUUGCUGCAAGUGCUCUCACGGGACUAUAUUUUACAUUUUAUUAUUAUGGUUUUUAAACAGCAUUACUCUGAGAGACCCUUCUUCCCUUCCUUCCUUACGCCCAUGGCCUACAGAAACUCCCAGGCCAGGGAUUGAACCCCUGCCACAGCAGUGUCAACAGCAGACCCUUAACUGCCAUGCCACCAGGGAACUCCAGGACUAUAUUUUAAAGGGUAAAAGGUGGGAAGGAGAGAGAAGGUUGCCCUCCGUGGUGGGGGUGGCCGUGGGGCACCAGGGUUCUGGCAGAGCUGCUGGGACUGCCCGGGGGGAGAGGACGGGAGCAGAUGUGGGCUCCUGGGGCCCUUGUCCCCAUUCUUUCUCGUGUGAUGUGACUCACGGGCCUGGAGCAUGCAGGACAUUCAGUGACACCAGGAGUCAAGGGGGCCAGUGUGAAAGGAGCUGAUUACGAUGGGAGGUGGCAGAAGGGCUCAGGAAAACAGGCCCAGGGCCCCAGUUUAGGGGCGCCCUUGCUGGGAGCCAGUUACUGCAGACAAGGCACGUGCUCUGCAUGGUUCUGUGGUUACUCCACGCUCGUCCUCCUUGGGCCACAUUCUGUGUUUGUGAAAGGCCGCUUCUGCUGCCUCUUGGUUUGAGCUCAGAUGGGCCUUUUUUUUUUGCUUUUUGGGCCACACCCGCGGCAUAUGGAGGUUCGAAGGCUAGGAGUCAAUGGGAGCUACAGCUGCUGGCCUACACCACAGCCACAGCAACGCCUGAUCAGAUGGGCCUUCUUCAAAUAAAAGCUAUAGUUUCUUC